rnacentral:rRNA from 1 species
CCGCGGUAUCCUAACCGUGCGAAGGUAGCGUAAUCACUUGUUCUUUAAAUGAGGACUAGUAUGAAUGGCAUCACGAAGGUUAUACUGUCUCCCCUUUUUAAUCAGUGAAACUAAUCUUCCCGUGAAGAAGCGGGAAUAAAAUUAUAAGACGAGAAGACCCUAUGGAGCUUUAGACUACGCAACAAUUGCUAUUCACUUUUUACCCUAUGGGGCCCCAACUAUAUUUUCUCAUAUUGAUUGCUAGUCUUGGGUUGGGGUGACCGCGGAGUAAAAUAUAACCUCCACGAUGAAAGAAACUUAAUUUCUUAACCCAGAGUUACAACUCUAAGUACCAAAAAAUUUGACAUGAAUUGAUCCAAUUUAUUGAUCAACGAACCAAGUUACCCUAGGGAUAACAGCGCAAUCUACUUCAAGAGUCCCUAUCGACAAGUAGGUUUACGACCUCGAUGUUGGAUCAGGGUAUCCUAGUGGUGCAGCCGCUACUAAAGGUUCGUUUGUUCAACGAUUAAAACCCUACGUGAUCUGAGUUCAGACCGGA